rnacentral:rRNA from 1 species
UACGUAGGGCGCAAGCGUUAUCCGGAAUUACUGGGCGUAAAGAGCUCGUAGGUGGUUUGUCGCGUUGUUCGUGAAAACUCACAGCUCAACUGUGGGCGUGCGGGCGAUACGGGCAGACUAGAGUACUGCAGGGGAGACUGGAAUUCCUGGUGUAGCGGUGGAAUGCGCAGAUAUCAGGAGGAACACCGGUGGCGAAGGCGGGUCUUUGGCAGUACGUGACGCUGAGGAGCGAAAGCG